UACGUAGGGCGCAAGCGUUAUCCGGAAUUAUUGGGCGUAAAGAGCUCGUAGGCGGCUUGUCGCGUCGAAUGUGAAAACUCGGGGCUCAACUCCGAGCUUGCAUUCGAUACGGGCAGGCUAGAGUUGGUGAGGGGAGACUGGAAUUCCUGGUGUAGCGGUGAAAUGCGCAGAUAUCAGGAGGAACACCGGUGGCGAAGGCGGGUCUCUGGGCAGUAACUGACGCUGAGGAGCGAAAGCGUGGGUAGCAAACAGG
rnacentral:rRNA from 1 species